CUGGCUCAGAUUGAACGCUGGCGGCAGGCCUAACACAUGCAAGUCGAGCGGUAGCACAGAGAGCUUGCUCUCGGGUGACGAGCGGCGGACGGGUGAGUAAUGUCUGGGAAACUGCCUGAUGGAGGGGGAUAACUACUGGAAACGGUAGCUAAUACCGCAUAACGUCGCAAGACCAAAGUGGGGGACCUUCGGGCCUCAUGCCAUCAGAUGUGCCCAGAUGGGAUUAGCUAGUAGGUGGGGUAACGGCUCACCUAGGCGACGAUCCCUAGCUGGUCUGAGAGGAUGACCAGCCACACUGGAACUGAGACACGGUCCAGACUCCUACGGGAGGCAGCAGUGGGGAAUAUUGCACAAUGGGCGCAAGCCUGAUGCAGCCAUGCCGCGUGUWUGAAGAAGGCCUUCGGGUUGUAAAGYACUUUCAGCGGGGAGGAAGGCGAUAAGGUUAAUAACCUUGUCGAUUGACGUUACCCGCAGAAGAAGCACCGGCUAACUCCGUGCCAGCAGCCGCGGUAAUACGGAGGGUGCAAGCGUUAAUCGGAAUUACUGGGCGUAAAGCGCACGCAGGCGGUCUGUCAAGUCGGAUGUGAAAUCCCCGGGCUCAACCUGGGAACUGCAUUCGAAACUGGCAGGCUAGAGUCUUGUAGAGGGGGGUAGAAUUCCAGGUGUAGCGGUGAAAUGCGUAGAGAUCUGGAGGAAUACCGGUGGCGAAGGCGGCCCCCUGGACAAAGACUGACGCUC
rnacentral:rRNA from 1 species